ACGUACGCUCCUGCGGGAGGCAGCAGUGGGGAAUAUUGGACAAUGGGCGCAAGCCUGAUCCAGCCAUGCCGCGUGAGUGAUGAAGGCCCUAGGGUUGUAAAGCUCUUUCACCGGUGAAGAUAAUGACGGUAACCGGAGAAGAAGCCCCGGCUAACUUCGUGCCAGCAGCCGCGGUAAUACGAAGGGGGCUAGCGUUGUUCGGAUUUACUGGGCGUAAAGCGCACGUAGGCGGACUAUUAAGUCAGGGGUGAAAUUCCGGGGCUCAACCCCGGAACUGCCUUUGAUACUGGUAGUCUUGAGUUCGAGAGAGGUGAGUGGAAUUCCGAGUGUAGAGGUGAAAUUCGUAGAUAUUCGGAGGAACACCAGUGGCGAAGGCGGCUCACUGGCUCGAUACUGACGCUGAGGUGCGAAAGCGUGGGGAGCAAACAGGAUUAGAAACCCCUGUAGUCCC
rnacentral:rRNA from 1 species